UGGAUCGAUGAUGAGAUCUGGUGGCGUAUGAGUCAUGGACGAUGAAUACGUGGCUUGAAUUCUGAGGUCCGU